AAAGCUUAAAAUCAAUAGCUUUUUCUGCAUAAAAAAUUAAGUUUGUUGCAUGUACACAUUGUAAUCAGUUGAUAACUUAAUUUAAUGAGUUGGUCGAAAUGAAAAUAAAGAAAACAGUCUUAGCUCAGUAAUAUAUCGAUUUUGAACAGACAUUUCUGUGUUAACUUAACAUGAAAGUGUAUUCAGUUAAUACAACUUAAAAAUCUCGUAAGCGUCCUUUAAAAGCUGAGUACAAGGCUGACUUGCCCGGACAUGUUGUGCUCUCAGACCACUGAUCGAAAGAAACGGAGGCAAAGAGAGAAAGCGGAGAAGCGCCAUUUUGUACGGAACGUUAUCAAACGUUAAAGCUUUGUGAUAAACCAAGAAUUCAGAAGGAUCACCACUGUUAACCUGGAGACAACAUUCAUGGCAAAGCUGGACCAGUACUCUCAGAAAAUAAUGUCCUUGCUGUCCUCAAGAGGAGGGGCUGCAAAAUGCGCAUUCGGCGCAUCCAGAACAUGCUGCUAGAGGACGAUUCUGUGGAGAGAAGGCGAGAGGUCGCUAUCCGUGGCUUAGUGGUGU